rfam:Gossypium raimondii Chr03_contig_13, whole genome shotgun sequence.
UGUUAAAAAUUUUAUCUAUUUGUACUAUUAAAAAUUGACAUGGCUGAUGAAAUAAUCAAACAGUGAUACAUGACGUGUCAUGUGUAUCUUAUUCUAACGUAUAGGGACCAAUUUUUAACAGUAGAAAUGGAUGGAAUUUUGAAAA